GGUUAAAAGGAAGGUGGCUCCCGCGGCGCACCGGAGCUGACAGCAGCGGCGGCGGCAGAAGCGCAGGUAUCCGGCAGCAGUACUCCAGGCUCCCGCUAGUCCACCCAGCGACACCUCCCUCUCUCCUCCCUGCGUGACACGGUCGGUGUGUGGGAGCCUCGGACGGAUCCACGCCGCAUCACUCACCCACCACAUCCCCGCUCAGGUCACCCCCCCCUCCCCUUUUCUUUAAUCUCGCCUCUACCGGCAUUUCCGUCUCCUCGUCCCCGAAGAUGACACCUGGAAAAGCCCGAGCUGCAGUCAUGUCCUUCUCGGUGCUGAUACUCGGGGCGCUGAUGCUGCAGCCCGUCUCCUCUCAGAACGCCGGCUUUGUGAAAUCCCCUCUUUCCGAGACUAAACUCACAGGCGACGUCUUUGAGCUGUACUGUGACGUGGUGGGAAACCCCACCCCAGAGAUCCAGUGGUGGUACUCUGAGAUCAACCGAGCCGAUUCUUUCAGGCAACUGUGGGACGGCGCCCGCAAGCGUCGGGUGUCCAUCAGCACGGCCUACGGCACCAAUGCCGUGAGCGUGCUGGCCGUCUCUCGUCUCACGCUGGACGACGCCGGGACCUACGAGUGCAGAGCCAGCAAUGACCCACGACGUAACGACCUGCAUCAAAAUCCAGCCACCACCUGGAUCCGUGCUCAGGCCACUAUAACGGUGCUGCAGAAGCCAUCAAUCACCGCCUCCGAACACAUCACACUUCCAGUGGAAGGCGACGCUUUCACACUGCAGUGCAACCUGACCAGCGCCUACAAUGUCCCCGAGGAGAGCUACUGGAUGAAGGAUGGCGAGGAGAUCCCGGACACACGCAGUCCGAAUAAGAACACCGAGUACAGGCUGAGGAAACCAAGGGGAGACGACGCUGGAGUGUACACGUGUGUCUACACCUUUGAGGCGGCUCCAUCAGGCAACGCCUCCAUUGAAGUUAAAUCUGCUCCUGAUAUUACAGGCCACAAGCGCAGUGAGAAUAAGAAUGAGGGCCAGCUUGCUGUGCUCUACUGCAAGUCUCAGGGCUAUCCUCACCCUGUCUGGACCUGGAAGAAGUUUGAGAACGGUGUUUUAAGGGAAAUCGACAACUCAACCGGACGCUUCUUCAUCAACAGCAGAGACAAUUACACCGAGCUCCACAUUAUCGACCUGGACAUUAGUCUAGAUCCAGGCGAGUACCACUGCAACGCCACCAACAUUAUCAGCAGCCGCAACGAGAAGUCUGUGCUGAGGGUCCGCAGCCACUUGGCCCCCUUAUGGCCUCUCCUGGGAGUUUUGGCCGAGAUCAUCAUCCUGGUCGUCAUCAUCGUUGUUUAUGAGAAGCGCAAGAAGCCUGAGGAUAUGCAAGACGGCCCAACAUGCAGUGAAUGACAGACAGCUCCUUGUGACAGUCACUGCACAGAAAUGUAUCACCAUUAUGGAUCAUUACAGGCUGGACCAGUGAAAACUAAUUCCACUAACAACCACAAAGACAAGAACCUCCGCCAGAGGAAUACGAACUGAGCAGCCUGUCCGCUGAGUUUCAUUACACAUGUAUUGACCAUAUGAAGGUAAACAAGAGGAGAGUCCAUUCCAGUUAUAGGAUGUAUCUGCCAUUGCAAGUGUGGUUGUGCAGGAGUUAAAUGGGGCAUGCCUUAUGAUUGUGUGAGGGUGUGAGAUCAGGAGGUGCUGGAAGCAUUAUGGAAUUGUUCACAUUAUAACCAUUGUUGCUGCAUGCGGUUGUUGACGUUUAUGAUUUUUUUUUUCUCCCUCUUAUUCACUAAUUUAACAUUUUUACUACUUCUAAAGUAAUGCAUGCAAGAUGUUGACCUUCUGUUUGAUACAGAAAUGGCUUUCUUUUGUUUUGUUUUCUCUGAGAGUGGCUUCAUGUAGAUAACCCGUACUGUGUUCUAGAGGAAUUAACUAAACUCAGCAAUGUAAAAGAAAAUAACCACCAUAAUCUGGUAUGACAGUCGUGUACAGUUUUAUCAUUCCACUGCAUACCAUUUUCUAAGUUCUAUCAUUUUACCAGACAGUAUGUAUUACAUUAUAAGGGCUUCGCAAUGUCCCUCUAAACUCGGUUAAGGUUUACUUAUGCUGUAUGUAUGUACUGUAUGUUUCCAAUCACUAUAACUGUGUAUCAGAUCAUUAAUAUAAAGAUUAUUCAUAUAAUAUGAUGCACUUAAAUGUUGAGAAUAAUGAAAAACUGUAUACACUUUAGGGAAUAUGUACUAAUCAUUCUAACAUAUUGUUUUAUAAGUAUGUGUAUUGUACAGCAUGGCUAUUAUCCUAUGCAAUUAUUAUCCAUAUCAAUAUAUUGAAAGUCAUUGCAGCUUUUGAUUUCUCUGUGACAAAGCUUUAAACUAGUAGGAUCACCGUAGAGCGUUGAUGGCAUACUACUCAGCUGCAUGAAAUAUCCACAGCUGACGUGGGAGGUGGCGAGAGGGAGGGCCCACGUCAGGACCGGCACUCGAAGCAAUUCCUAAAUCCUGAGUCAUUUUUAAGAAUAAAUAUCUGGAAAAUGAAAAA